CUUUCAUUCCAUUUGGAGCAGGAAGCAGGUCUUGCCCAGGAAGCGACUUGGCCAAGCUUGAGAUGUCCAUCUUUCUACACUAUUCUCUCCUUAACUAUGAGGUAGAGCAAACUAAUCCUAAGUGCCCUAUCAAUUACCUCCCUUCACCGAAACCUUCAGAUAAUUUCAUGGCAAAGUUCAAAAGACUCGGUUCAGAUUCUAGGGAUGUAUGAAAAUAUGGCUUUCAGGUUUUUCCUUAAAUGUGGUUUUACUGGAAGCUAAUCAUCAUCUUCCUUCAUGAUCCAUAUGGACAGUGCAUAUGCUGCGUCAUCACAGGUGCAGCUAAGAGUUUCUGUUACAUAGAUCAUUCUAGGGAUGUGAAUUGCUUCAGAUGCAUCAGGUCGAAUCUUGCAAAGAUUGAAUAGCCAGAACUGCUAAAGCAUGUUUUAUCUUUUGGUCAUUCAAUAUCAACAUCACAAGUUCAUGCAAUCAGCUGUAUUUUGGAAUCCUUCAGCCUUUUCUUUUGGUUUGUCUUCAUAAUCUUUUAAA